CCUACGGGAGGCAGCAGUGGGGAAUAUUGGACAAUGGGCGAAAGCCUGAUCCAGCAAUUCCGCGUGUGUGAAGAAGGCCUUCGGGUUGUAAAGCACUUUAGUGGGGGAAGAAACAGCUUGGCCACACCAAGCCUUGACGGUACCCCAAGAAUAAGCACCGGCUAACUCUGUGCCAGCAGCCGCGGUAAUACAGAGGGUGCAAGCGUUAAUCGGAUUUACUGGGCGUAAAGGGUGCGUAGGUGGCUAUUUAAGUCGGAUGUGAAAGCCCGGGGCUCAACCUCGGAAUUGCAUUCGAUACUGAGUGGCUAGAGUUCGGUAGAGGGCGGCGGAAUUUCCGGUGUAGCGGUGAAAUGCGUAGAUAUCGGAAGGAACAUCAAUGGCGAAGGCAGCCGCCUGGGCCUGGACUGACACUGAGGCACGAAAGCGUGGGUAGCAAACAGGAUUAGAUACCCUGGUAGUCCACGCCGUAAACGAUGAGAACUUGACGUUGGUUCGUUUUACGAAUCGGUGUCGCAGCUAACGCGAUAAGUUCUCCGCCUGGGGAUACGGCCGCAAGGUUGAAACUCAAAUGAAUUGACGG
rnacentral:rRNA from 1 species